rnacentral:rRNA from 1 species
AUGGGGAGGGCGCCGUGCUGCGACAGGGCGGCGGUGAAGCGGGGCCCGUGGUCGCCGGAGGAGGACGACGCGCUGCGCGACUACAUGCAGCGCCACGGCAACACCGGCAGCUGGAUCACCCUCCCCAACAAAGCCGGGCUCAAGAGGUGCGGCAAGAGCUGCAGGCUGCGGUGGCUCAACUACCUCCGCCCGGACAUCCGCCACGGCGGCUUCACCGACGAGGAGGACACCAUCAUCUACUCCCUCUACAGCCAGCUCGGCAGCAAAUGGUCGCUGAUCGCGUCGCAGCUGGAGCGGAGGACGGACAACGACGUCAAGAACCACUGGAACACCAAGCUCAAGAAGCGCCUCGCCGCCGCAGCCGCCGCCUUCUCCACCCGACGCUCCCCGCCCUUCAUGCCGCUGCCGGCGCCGGCCGCAGCGCACGCGCAGCCGUCGCCGCUGCUCCCGCUCUCCGUGCCGACCGUGAAGGCCGAGGCGUACACCUACGACGACUUCUUGGCGCCGACCGCCGGGCUGCAGGACCCGUUCGCCGCGGAGGGCUCGUCUUCGGCCUCCGCCGCGCUCCAGGACCCGUUCGCCGCAGAGGGCUCGUCCUCGGCCUCCGCCGCGCUCCAUGACACGCUCGCCGCCGAGGGCUCGACGUCGGCCUCCGCCGCGUCGUCGGGGUCCAACUGGUCGGCGGUCGACAACGCCGGCGGGUUCUUCGUGGACUUCUGCGCGGCCGGCCCCGACCUCGCUGCCGCGGACCAGUUCCUCGGCGGCUUCUACUACCCUCUCGACCCGACCCUGUCACUAGUGUAG